rnacentral:rRNA from 1 species
CAAUAGCGUAUAUUAAAGUUGUUGCAGUUAAAAAGCUCGUAGUUGGAUUUCUGGUAGGAGUGACCGUUCCGAACUUGAUUGUUCGUGUAUUGUGUUUUCUCCAGCCAUCCUUGUGGAGAACUUUUCUUGCAUUAAUUUGUAGGGAUUGGGACCCGCAUCGUUUACUGUGAAAAAAUCAGAGUGUUUAAAGCAGGCAAUCGCUUGAAUACAUUAGCAUGGAAUAAUAAGAUAGGACUUUGGUACUAUUUUGUUGGUUUGCAUACCAAAUUAAUGAUCAACAGGAACAGUUUGAGGAUAUUCGUAUGAACAUGUCAGAGGUGAAAUUCUUGGAUUUUGAUCAGACGAACUACUGCGAAAGCAUUUAUCAAGGAUGUUUUCAUUAA